rnacentral:rRNA from 1 species
CUUGGUGGCCAUAGCGACAGUGCCCCACCCGAUCCCAUCUCGAACUCGGACGUGAAACCUGUCUGCGCCGAUGGUACUACCGCUUAAGCGUUGGAAGAGUAGGGCGUCGCCAGGC